UUUUCUAGCGUUUCACUCCCCGAUGCCUGGAAUCUUGCUUGGCACAGAGUGGGAGCUCAAUGAAUACGUACUGAAUGGAUGACCUCACUGGAGUCCUGAGCAGACGGAAAGCACCACAUCAGGACCCCAGACAAUCCUGGGAUGAUUCCAUUUUACAGAUGAGGAAACCCGGACAGCAGAGGGGCUCAUGUUCCUCCCAAGGUUGCACAGCUCUGAAGAUCAAACCUGCCCUUG
rnacentral:lncRNA from 1 species